UGGUCUCUACCAAGGCUGCUAGAAAAAUCUCAUUUCUGGUAUGCUGUGGACGUGACCACAUAGUAACUCCUCUAGAUUUUUACAUUGCUGCCAUGGUAGCAACAAAUCUGUUGGGAACAUUA